UAUACAAUGAAGAGUUUGAUCCUGGCUCAGGAUGAACGCUAGCGGCAGGCCUAACACAUGCAAGUCGAGGGUAACAGGGAGCUUGCUUCGCUGACGACCGGCGCACGGGUGCGUAACGCGUAUAGAACCUACCUUUUACAGGGGAAUAGCCUUUAGAAAUGAAGAUUAAUGCCCCAUAGUAUUGUAGACUGGCAUCAGUUUACAAUUAAAGAUUUAUCGGUAAAAGAUGGCUAUGCGUCCUAUUAGUUAGUUGGUAAGGUAACGGCUUACCAAGACAUCGAUAGGUAGGGGUCCUGAGAGGGAGAUCCCCCACACUGGUACUGAGACACGGACCAG
rnacentral:rRNA from 1 species